rnacentral:rRNA from 1 species
AUACGUAGGGUGCAAGCGUUAAUCGGAAUUACUGGGCGUAAAGCGUGCGCAGGCGGUUUUGUAAGUCUGUCGUGAAAUCCCCGGGCUUAACCUGGGAAUGGCGAUGGAGACUGCAAGGCUGGAAUCUGGCAGAGGGGGGUAGAAUUCCACGUGUAGCAGUGAAAUGCGUAGAGAUGUGGAGGAACACCGAUGGCGAAGGCAGCCCCCUGGGCUAAGAUUGACGCUCAUGCACGAAAGCGUGGGGAGCAAACAGGA